UACAGAGGUCUCAACCGUUGUUCGGAUUCAUUGGGCGUAAAGGGUGCGUAGGCGGUCGUGCAAGUCGGAUGUGAAAUCUCAGGGCUCAACCCUGAAACUGCAUUCGAUACUGCGCGGCUAGAGUGCUGGAGGGGAGACUGGAAUUUACGGUGUAGCAGUGAAAUGCGUAGAUAUCGUAAGGAAGACCAGUGGCGAAGGCGAGUCUUUGGACAGCAACUGACGCUGAGGCACGAAGGCCAGGGGAGCAAACGGG
rnacentral:rRNA from 1 species